rfam:Pteropus alecto contig55376, whole genome shotgun sequence.
CUCAGUUUUGCUGUAAACCUAAAACUGCUCUAAAAAAUAAAGUUUAUUAAUUAUUUUUUUGAAAGGAGGAAUAAACACAUUGCACAUUCUUCUCUCCUACAAAAGGUAAAAUGAAAAGGAAUAUCAGCCUGAAUUCUUUUCCCCAGGAAACAAAGAAAUCAC